rnacentral:rRNA from 1 species
CGGGAGGUGAGUAAUGUCUGGGAAACUGCCUGAUGGAGGGGGAUAACUACUGGAAACGGUAGCUAAUACCGCAUAACGUCGCAAGACCAAAGAGGGGGACCUUCGGGCCUCUUGCCAUCGGAUGUGCCCAGAUGGGAUUAGCUAGUAGGUGGGGUAACGGCUCACCUAGGCGACGAUCCCUAGCUGGUCUGAGAGGAUGACCAGCCACACUGGAACUGAGACACGGUCCAG